rnacentral:rRNA from 1 species
AUGGCGGCGGCGGCAGGAGUCUCCGGGGAGUCGUCGGGGACGAAGACGAAGAAGCUUAAGAUUGCUGUCAUCCACCCCGACCUUGGAAUCGGUGGUGCUGAGAGAUUGAUAGUUGAUGCGGCAUGUCAGCUUGCUGCCCAUGGGCACGAUGUUCACGUUUUCACAUCACACCAUGACAGAAAUCGGUGCUUUGAGGAAACAGUCUCUGGUACAUUCCCAGUUACAGUAUAUGGAGAUUUCCUGCCUCGUCAUGUGUUUUACCGCUUUCAUGCUGUCUGUGCUUAUCUUCGCUGCAUUUUUGUUGCACUCUGCGUGCUACUUUGGUGGCCCUCCUUUGAUAUCAUAUUGGUAGACCAGGUUUCUGUUGUGAUUCCACUUCUUAAACUAAAGGCAUCAUCAAAGACAAUUUUUUAUUGCCAUUUUCCUGAUCUGUUGCUUGCACAACAUACAACAAUUCUUCGGAGGUUAUAUCGCAAGCCAAUUGACAUGAUUGAGGAAGCCACGACUGGUAUGGCAGAUUUGAUUCUAGUCAACAGUAAGUUCACCGCGGCAACUUUUGCCAGGACCUUUUGUGGUCUUCAUGCUAGAGGAGUCGAGCCUGGUGUCCUAUACCCAGCGGUCUCAGUUGAGCAGUUUCAUGAACCUCAUGAUUAUAAGUUGAAUUUCCUCUCAAUUAACCGGUUUGAGAGAAAAAAGAAUCUUGGUCUAGCCAUUUCAGCAUUUGCUUUGCUCCGGUCAGUUGUUUCUAAGCAACCUGGUGAUGCUCUGUGGGAAGCAAGCUUAACAGUGGCAGGUGGGUACGAUAAGCGCCUCAAAGAAAACGUUGAAUACCUUGAGGAGCUCAAAAGAUUGGCAGCGACUGAGGGUGUUUCUGAACAUGUUAAAUUCGUGACAUCUUGUUCUUCAUCUGAAAGAAACGAGCUUCUCUCCAACUGCCUUUGUGUGUUGUACACUCCAAAGGACGAGCAUUUUGGCAUUGUUCCUCUUGAAGCCAUGGCAGCAUACAAGCCUGUAAUCGCAUGCAACAGCGGUGGUCCAGUGGAAACAGUAGUGAACGAGGCGACAGGGUUUCUGUGCGAUCCCUCCCCCAUCGAAUUCUCAAAAGCCAUGCUGAAGUUUGUGAGCGAUCACGAUCUAGCGGUCCGGAUGGGCAAACAAGCACGCGACCGCGUGGUGCAGGAAUUCUCGACCAAGACGUUCGGCGACCUCCUGAACAGCUAUGUCCUCAAUGUCUACCACCAGAGGAUGGAGUGA